AAACACAUGCAUCAGACACUUCCGCAGAAUAUCCUUAAAUCUUUCUCAUGCCUCAUUCAAGCUUUCUUCUUCCAAUUGCUUAAAAUAAGUAAAGUUUUUUCGAAGUUU